CACGUAGGGCGCGAGCGUUGUCCGGAAUUAUUGGGCGUAAAGAGCUCGUAGGCGGCCUGUUGCGUCCGCUGUGAAAGCCCGGGGCUUAACCCCGGGUCGGCAGUGGAUACGGGCAGGCUAGAGGUAGGUAGGGGAGAAUGGAAUUCCCGGUGUAGCGGUGAAAUGCGCAGAUAUCGGGAGGAACACCGGUGGCGAAGGCGGGUCUCUGGGCCGAUACUGACGCUGAGGAGCGAAAGCGUGGGGAGCGAACAGG
rnacentral:rRNA from 1 species